CCUAGUGUAGUCUAGGCCCAGCUGGGCCCGCGCAGGGAUCCCCAGCACGGCCACCUGACUUGAGCACUGCGCGUGCUACGGCCCGCUGCUUCUGCCUCCGCCGCCGGCGCUGCGGCCAGAGGAAGGCGCCCGCCGUGCACACGGGCCCAUGAAAGCGCAGUGCGGCCAUUAUCCACGGCGCCUCCUAGUGGGUCAAUGGUAAAUCCUUUUAUUUCUCGCGAGAGCUGCCCCUCAGUAGGGAUUAUAUAAUUUUCUUUAGGCGGGGGUGGAAGACUGCUAAUGUCACCCACCCUCAGAAAAAGUUAGGUGCAAGAAUGGGUGGGAGUUUGCUCUCCUAGGGUGAUGGGGGAGGGGUACUGUCCCUCACUGCCCCCCCCACUUGGCUGGACAAUGAGUCCUCUUAUGCUAAUGAGGGCUUACGUCACUUCCGCUCUUUCUCGGCCGCCAUUUUGGCUGGGGCAGGUUCGGGGAGUCGCUCCGAGGCGCUUGUAUUGUCUGCUGAGGGGAGACGCGGGAUCGGCCCCCUCCCCCGCCCGUUGCCGCCGCCGCCUCAGCCGGCCCGGUCUCCCCUCUGCCGCCCGCCGGGAUCCAUGAGCUGAACUCCCGCCCCCCCCGGCCGCCGCCAUCUUGUGCCCCCUCCCCCUCCCGCAGGCAGCGCUAAGGGGGAUUUUGGCGUCUCCUCAGCCACAGCUCCCUCUCUCGGUCCCCGCUGCCGAGGAGCGAGAGGAGUACGGCCGCUGCCGCCCGCCUGCCCGCGCCGGUGAAGCCGCCUCUGCCCACACCCUCCGUCUCCUCCCUCCGCCCCUCCUUUGUCUGCACCGCUCGACGACGCUGCCGCCGCCCGCGCGGGGACUGGAGGGAGCCGCUCGCGUCGCCGCCGCCGCCGCCGCCGCCGCCGCCCGCCGCUCUGCUGCGUCCGCCGCGCCCCCCGGCAGCAGCCGCGGCCGCGGCGCGAGCCGGAGCCCGCCGAGCCCGAGCGCGUCCAGGCCCGGGGCGCGCCCUCCCCGCCACCACAGCCGUGCCGCCGCCAUCCGCCCGCCGCCGCCGCUGUCCGGCCCCCGAGCACGCCGGCCCCGCGCGCGCCUCGAGGCCGAGUCAAGGUGUGAGAUGCACAAUGCGAAACCUAGGCCCCAGCUUUUGCACCAUGAUGCACAGGGUUGUACUUAUUGUACUGAACUGAUAGGUGGCCUAGUGGUUAUGCCCUGUACUGCCAUUUUGAGGAUCUGGACUCCGUUUCCUGCCUUGCUCUUUGGACCACAUUGUCAGUUCACACCGGUGGGUAUAUUCGUUUUGGAGGGUGGGAACUGCAGCAACAGGGAAGCCAGAGAUUCUUUCUCCUUGGUCACCACCAAAGCCAACACUUCCAAAUUAAGCCUACCCACGUUCCUCAAGGAACCAAUUAGAGCUGGUUGUAGUAGUGGGCUACUGAACAGCGAAAAGACUUAUGGCUUUUAAAAAUAUUUGUCUUCUGCACUCUUGUUUAUAAAGUAUGUUAAGUACUCCUUUACUGCAUUUUCAUGACCCAAAUUUAAGAGUUGUUAGGCUUCUAAAAGCCUUGAUCAAAAUAUAUACCUUUCCUUGAUCAAAAUAUACCUUUCUAUGAACUUGUGCAUGCGACCGAAGACUGACAGUAGUUGUUGAUACCCUUUAAAGGUACUUUUAAGACUUCGUUACAAGUAUCUUACAUGGAUACACCAUGAUAAAUUUUGAGAAACUGAAUGGGUGUUAUCUUUAAUACAUGGUUAACCAGCUGGCUGUUAAGAGAAUUCUCAUUGGAUAUUUCCUACCAAGUAACAUUUUGGUGAGUGAAAAGGAGUUCCCUUGGUUUCAUGUGUUUCAUUGAAGACUGACUAUAUUGCUUCUUAAUUUUUUUGCUGCUUACAGGAACCAGAUAUUUAAUCUUAAUGGUGGUAUUUGCAGUUUUACUGCUGUUUAGUAUUUGUUAAAGAGAUUUAAUUCUGACCAGUGUUUGAUCUUUAAUACAUACACUUACACAAGUUUUAAAAAUGAGUAAGUAAUUUGAAGAUUUAUUUGAGGUGUAUUUGAGUUUAAAGUUUUGAAGAUGUUUUUAUUUGAUUUAGCAAAUUAUAAAUAAGAUACAGUGCUAACUGAUGUCCUUAGUGGUAAUAGCCAUUUUCCCCCCUACAGGAAAACUUCCUGGAGCUCUUAGAAAGCAUGUAUUCUACAGAGUUUCAAAGGUUUCCUGGUUUUGACAGUCAAAAAAAAGGUGAAACAAUGGGCUUGAAGGCUGGGAUUUACAGUAGGUAAACUGUAAGGGUUUUUAAUAAAUGGUACAAAGCUUCAGUUAACUAGAAUAUGUGGGAAAUAGGUGUUCUUUUUAACUGAACUUUAAGUAAAAACUCCUUUACUUCAACCCUAGUUGAAAAAUUUCCUAAGACCACCUUAGUAGUAGAUGUUAUGCAUUGAGCUAACUAAACCUUUGGUUUUUGUUCUUGUAGUCCCUGAAAUCUUUGGUGUGGUUAUUUCUCAGUAUCCUGAUACCUGUGUAGAAAAUACAGUUGGUUGGGCUGUUACUCUUUAAAGACCUCUGCCUGUCCUGGGGUCUUAUAUAUUUUUUUUUUAUGUACCCACUAUGGUUUUGGUUUUGAUUUUGUUUUUUGCUUAAAUUUUUCUUUUUCUCCUCAAACCAGAGUGCAGGAAUAGUUUCAGCACUCCUUGUAUUAAAAAUAAAAUGUCACCGUAUUAAACAGAGUUUCAGCAUCGCUUGAAAGUAACCAGGAGACCUACCUUUAUCAAGUAAAAAUGGGUUUUGGUUUUCAUUUAUA
rnacentral:lncRNA from 1 species